AGCUUCAUCUCUCUUAUUAGGCCCUGGUAUGUUAAACUGCAAGCCAAACAAGUACUCAAAAUUGGGAGUGUAAUGUUUUUAUCGUGAUGAUCGUCAUUAUCAUGAAUGAUGUGAAAUCCCAUUUUACACUUUGAAGUUGCAUCCACUAACAUUUUUCUACGAUUGCAGCUAAUGUAAAAUCGCACUUUUUUUUUUUUUGCGUAUUUGUUUUUACAGUGCAAUGAUUUAUGUACAUAUGCCGCAAAAACGUACAAAAAUGUCCUCAUGGAAGCACUUAGGGAACAAUGGAAGCGUAAAAUACGAAAUUUGUACAAGGAAUUUCGUGUUUUAAAGCUACAGUAAAAGCAAUCCAAAUCGAUUUUCUUCGCGUCCAGUAAAGUAUUCCUGGACGACAUUCUAUGAAAUCGCUAUCUUUUUCAUUGAGAAGCUCGUCAGCCAAGAACUUGCUAGAAUAUUACUGGGUGAUAUUCUAUAUCUAGUGAUGUUAGACUGUUUACCAUUAGAACAAGUUUGAAGUUUGGGAAGGUGGUAACGGGAUAGAUGAACUUACAGUGUAACUUUUUUAGCCAACGGUAAAUUGAUAGUUUUCGGAAUUGGUUGUCGAGCUUACGAGAAACCCCAAAAGUAUUAGGGUUAGCAGUUGCGUAAAAAUAGCCAACUGGUACCAAAGCUCAUGGAAAUGUAGAAACGAUUUGGAGCUUGUUGAUCCCCUGGCAGUUUACUAUCGAAGUACGGGAUUACAUUUGUACAACGCCCUACUUGAUGAGGGUUUAGAGGAGCUAGAAAAAAACUGCAUAUGAAAAUCACUGCAGAUGAAUUUGGCUUUUUCGAUCGAUUUGAAAAUGAAUGAUGAAACGAUCACAGAGACCAACGUAAAUCGCUGAAACAUUCAAUUCGAUUCGCUUUAUUUGUCUUCAAUUUUUCUGAACGUUAUCACUUUCACAGAAACCCGUUAUAUCUUGCGUUGUUUCCCACAUCUUAACAUUCACUUUUUUGGCUAAUUUAGCGCUUUUUAUAUUUUCCUUUACCCGCAGUCGUUUGAUUGUGUUAACCCAUUUAAGAGAUUUCUAUGUUGUGCGUUGUUUUAGAACUUUCUUCGUGAUAAUAUCAUUGACACUAACAGCAAACAGGCAUACACAUUAUCGUACCUAUUAUGUGUGCGGAUUCUAUUGCGGAUGCUUUUGAAUCAUAUUAUACGGCUGCCAAUUGA